rnacentral:rRNA from 1 species
GACGAACGCUGGCGGCGUGCUUAACACAUGCAAGUCGAACGAUGGAGCUGGAGCUUGCUCCGGUGGAUUAGUGGCGAACGGGUGAGUAACACGUGAGCAAUCUGCCCUUGACUCUGGGAUAACUGCGGGAAACUGUAGCUAAUACCGGAUACGAGGCUCGAAGGCAUCUUCGGGUCUGGAAAGAAUUUCGGUCAAGGAUGAGCUCGCGGCCUAUCAGCUUGUUGGUGAGGUAAUGGCUCACCAAGGCGACGACGGGUAGCCGGCCUGAGAGGGUGACCGGCCACACGGGGACUGAGACACGGCCAAGACUCCUACGGGAGGCAGCAGUGGGGAAUAUUGCACAAUGGGCGAAAGCCUGAUGCAGCAACGCCGCGUGAGGGAUGAAGGCCUUCGGGUUGUAAACCUCUUUUAGCAGGGAAGAAGCGAAAGUGACGGUACCUGCAGAGAAAGCACCGGCUAACUACGUGCCAGCCGCCGCCGUAA